rnacentral:lncRNA from 10 species
AGGCAGAAGCUGCCCCGAGAGACCAGCAGCAACGGUCUGGAAGAUGGGGCUGCAGGGAACGUGGGAGAGGGAGGAUUGGGCACCCCACCUCCGGGUCUCCGCAGGCUCUCCUAAGUCUUGUUUUUAAAAGAAACAAAACUCGGCCGCGCGCGGUGGCUCACGCCUAUAAUCCCAGCACUUGGGGAGGCCGAGGCCGGUGGAUCACCUGAGGUCGAGGGUUCGAGACCAGCCUGGCCAACAAGUUGAAACCCCGUCUCUACUAAAAAUACAAAAAUUAGCUGGAUGUGGUGACGCGCCUGUAAUCCCAGCUACUCAGGAGGCUGAGGCAGGAGAAUCGCUUGAACCCGGGAGGCGGAGGUUGCAGUGAGCGGAGAUCGUUCCAUUGCACUCCAGCCUGGGCGACAGACCGAGACUUAAAGGAAAGAAAAAAAAGAAAAAGAAAAGGAAACAAAACUCGUCCGCGCUCUGCGCCAGGGACACCAGCUCAGCUGAGCGCACGGAGACUGUAGGCAGGACCUCCCUACCCCUCAGGUCAAACAAAGACCCAAGGCCUCUAGUGAGCAAUAGCACCACGGACCGUUUGGGACACCUCCAACUCGAGUUCCCGGAUUCACAGUCCGGGACUGUGCCGCUCCAGUCCCGGGGAGCAUAUAGCCAAUUCCCAGGUCAGAACAGACCAGCUUCUUAAGAACCGAGUGAAGACUCAGUGCUGGCAUUUGUCUCCGUAGGUACUGGCCGACCUGCAACCAGAAGGGUUUCUAGCCAGCUCAGGGCCCUCCGAACAAAGCAGCGCUCGGUGCCGGACCUGCAGCUCUCCCCACCCGGCAGCAGCGCCCUCAGCACGCCCGGGAACCCCCGACCCCUCUGAGCCCGGGG